rnacentral:lncRNA from 1 species
GACAGGAGUGACGCCUACGCCGCCUUACCGAAACAGGGAGUACUUGAAGGCUAGCCCUCAGGAAGAAGUCUUGAGAGACCUCGACGACUCGGACUACGCUGUCCCCAACUUGGUGUUCCUCACGGAGCGGUCCAGGCGUCGCCGGCUCCGGACGCCCGUGGUGGUCCUGAGACGACACCCGCCGCCGAUAGCGUCGCCGUCGCCUUCGCCGCCGACUCGGCGCUGGAACCGCACGCGAUCCUACCGACCUCGGCGGCGCUCCGCGAACACGACCACAACGACGACGCGCCGACGGCGCACCAAGCUCACGCGCAAGCCCGUGUUUCAAUGGCGCUCCAAGGUACUCGUGACUCCUGCGUCGACGACCGAGACCGACAGGACCGGGCCGUCGGCGAUCGAGGACGAGGCCGCGACGUCGCCGCCUCCUUCACUGGAGGAGGCGACCUCUGGAGAAGGCAGGAAUGGAGACGACAAUGCCCUCUUUCCGGGCGUUGACGGCGACGUCGAAGACGAGCUUGGUGCCAGC